rnacentral:rRNA from 1 species
GAUGAACGCUGGCGGCGUGCCUAAUACAUGCAAGUAGAACGCUGAAGGAGGAGCUUGCUCUUCUGGAUGAGUUGCGAACGGGUGAGUAACGCAUAGGUAACCUGCCUGGUAGCGGGGGAUAACUAUUGGAAACGAUAGCUAAUACCGCAUGACAACAGUUAUUGCAUGAUAACUGUUUAAAAGGGGCAACUGCUCCACUACCAGAUGGACCUGCGUUGUAUUAGCUAGUUGGUGAGGUAACGGCUCACCAAGGCGCCGAUACAUAGCCGAGCUGAGAGGGUGAUCGGCCACACUGGGACUGAGACACGGCCCAGACUCCUACGGGAGGCAGCAGUAGGGAAUCUUCGGCAAUGGACGGAAGUCUGACCGAGCAACGCCGCGUGAGUGAAGAAGGUUUUCGGAUCGUAAAGCUCUGUUGUAAGAGAAGAACGAGUGUGAGAGUGGAAAGUUCACACUGUGACGGUAGCUUACCAGAAAGGGACGGCUAACUACGUG